GAAGACAGGCUGGUGGAGGAAGUAGAUGACGAGGAUCUACAAGAUGACGGGUUUGAGGAGGAGAUCAUGGAGGACAUCACAGUUCCAGUGCUGUAUGAGGAUGACCCCUGCCGUGAUCUCAGAAACAGCCCCUCAUCUUCGCCUCUGCCUCAGUCCCCAGCAUCACUGGCUGAGCCGUCCACAUCUGCUGGUGGAGAAGGACAGCUUCCUAGCCCAGCCCCCUCAGUGCCGUCACAGCCAUCCAAGUCUGGAGACAGUCUCUCUGUUGAGGCUCAGGGAGUAAAUCAUUGGACCUGAUGGCAUUGCUGGGUGGGACAAGGUCCAGGAUCUGGCUUAUUUGGUAGGUCUUCAUGAGGCUCCUUACCUCACUGACCUGCAGGUGACAGAGGCCAUCCAGCUGUGGACAGCUCUCCUGGAUGUUGAUAAACAGCGCAUCAACUACCAGCCUCGACAUCAGCCUCAGCUGACACAUGGGCGCUUUACGGCACCUUAGCGCUCCGGAGUCACUCCAGGUGUGGAGAGCGUCAAGCGCUGUCUGAUUGGACAUCCUGGGGGUCCAGCACAGUGGCCUAGCACCAGCCGCUUGGUUGAGGCCAUUUGUACAAAGCUGUGUGCCGUUCACAAGUCCACUUCCAAGAAGGCUGGUGUUCGCACGCCCAGGUGGUCUAAAAUACUGACCGAUUACCACCACAUCCGGGAUCUGG
ensembl:processed_transcript